rnacentral:rRNA from 1 species
CCUACGGGUGGCAACAGUGGGGGAUAUUGCACAAUGGGGGGAACCCUGAUGCAGCGACGCCGCGUGGGUGAAGAAGCGCCUCGGCGUGUAAAGCCCUUUCAGCAGGGACGAAAAUGACGGUACCUGAAGAAGAAGCCCCGGCUACCUACGUGCCAGCAGCCGCGGUAAUACGUAGGGGGCAAGCGUUAUCCGGCUGUACUGGGUGGAAAGGGGGCGCAGACGGCGAUGCAAGCCAGGAGUGAAAGCCCGGGGCCCAACCCCGGGACUGCGCUUGGAACUGCGUGGCUGGAGUGCAGGAGGGGCAGGCGGAAUUCCUGGUGUAGCGGUGAAAUGCGUAGAUAUCAGGAGGAACACCGGUGGCGAAGGCGGCCUGCUGGACUGCAACUGACGUUGAGGCCCGAAAGCGUGGGGAGCAAACAGGAUUAGAUACCCUUGUAGUC